rnacentral:rRNA from 1 species
GAUGAACGCUGGCGGCGUGCCUAAUACAUGCAAGUCGAGCGAACGGACGAGAAGCUUGCUUCUCUGAUGUUAGCGGCGGACGGGUGAGUAACACGUGGAUAACCUACCUAUAAGACUGGGAUAACUUCGGGAAACCGGAGCUAAUACCGGAUAAUAUUUUGAACCGCAUGGUUCAAAAGUGAAAGACGGUCUUGCUGUCACUUAUAGAUGGAUCCGCGCUGCAUUAGCUAGUUGGUAAGGUAACGGCCUACCAAGGCAACGAUGCAUAGCCGACCUGAGAGGGUGAUCGGCCACACUGGAACUGAGACACGGUCCAGACUCCUACGGGAGGCAGCAGUGGGGAAUCUUCCGCAAUGGGCGAAAGCCUGACGGAGCAACGCCGCGUGAGUGAUGAAGGUCUUCGGAUUGUAAAACUCUGUUAUUAGGGAAGAAAAUAUGUGUAAGUAACUGUGCACAUCUUGACGGUACCUAAUCAGAAAGCCACGGCUAACUUCGUG